CUUAAAUCAUUGACAGACAAAUACAUGUAUACUUGUUAUCAUAUGACUUUUGUAAGGAAAUCAAGGAGUCCUUAAAUAUUGAAUAUGUUAAACGUAUAUGACAAACUCAUCAAAACUUCCAAUUGUAAGUCAUUUGGGUAUAAUAAUUUGAAUAGAUUUUUUUAGAUGAAACACUACCUAAUCGGGCCCGGCUAGAAAAGAUCAUACUGGAAAGUAGUACAUGUUUAAAACAAAACAGUUCCUACGCAUAAAGGUAAAUAUGAAAUUGUAUAGCAUAUAUUUUUAGUAAAUAGGGUAUCAAAUGAAAGCUGAAGUACUUGUGAUCCUGGUAGAAUACACAACUUACUGAUAAUUUUGAAUAAUACAAAAUUGUAUAAAUGAAUUCAAAAGUUGAGGGCACUUAUGUUAAUAUAAAAAAAUAGUCUGCUAUUAUCUUACUACAAACUUAACAAUUUUUAAAGGGUAGUUUGAAAAUAAAUUGAAUUUUUAUUAAAUAUACAUUCUUUAUGAUAUCAUGGUGUUUUAAUUCGAUAGUGCAUUACAGUGAGUUGUUUAUAAAAUAUUGUAUUUUGUGCAUUACUACAUCAAUAGAUUAAAUCAUUUGUUUCAAUUUUGUACUCAUAUAGGAAUAACAACACCAUUGCUACAUGGCUCAAUUUGACA
rnacentral:lncRNA from 1 species